CCUACGGGUGGCUGCAGUGGGGAAUAUUGCACAAUGGGCGCAAGCCUGAUGCAGCCAUGCCGCGUGUGUGAAGAAGGCCUUCGGGUCGUAAAGCACUUUCAGCGGGGAGGAAGGCGGUGAGGUUAAUAACCUCAUCGAUUGACGUUACCCGCAGAAGAAGCACCGGCUAACUCCGUGCCAGCAGCCGCGGUAAUACGGAGGGUGCAAGCGUUAAUCGGAAUUACUGGGCGUAAAGCGCACGCAGGCGGUCUGUCAAGUCGGAUGUGAAAUCCCCGGGCUCAACCUGGGAACUGCAUUCGAAACUGGCAGGCUAGAGUCUUGUAGAGGGGGGUAGAAUUCCAGGUGUAGCGGUGAAAUGCGUAGAGAUCUGGAGGAAUACCGGUGGCGAAGGCGGCCCCCUGGACAAAGACUGACGCUCAGGUGCGAAAGCGUGGGGAGCAAACAGGAGUAGAUACCCGAGUAGUC
rnacentral:rRNA from 1 species